AGAAACUUACAACAAAGAGUCCCUCCCGACUGUUUACCAAAAACACAGCACUCUGCUAACUCGUAAGAGGAUGUAUAGGGUGUGACGCCUGCCCGGUGCUCGAAGGUUAAUUGAUGGGGUUAGCAUUAGCGAAGCUCUUGAUCGAAGCCCGAGUAAACGGCGGCCGUAACUAUAACGGUCCUAAGGUAGCGAAAUUCCUUGUCGGUUAAAUACCGACCUGCAUGAAUGGCGUAACGAGAUGGGAGCUGUCUCAAAGAGGGAUCCAGUGAAAUUGUAGUGGAGGUGAAAAUUCCUCCUACCCGCGGCAAGACGGAAAGACCCCGUGGACCUUUACUACAGCUUGACACUGCUACUUGGAUAAGAAUGUGCAGGAUAGGUGGGAGGCUUUGAGUAUAUGACGCCAGUUGUAUAUGAGCCAUUGUUGAGAUACCACUCUUUCUUAUUUGGGUAGCUAACCAGCUUGAGUUAUCCUCAAGUGGGACAAUGUCUGGUGGGUAGUUUGACUGGGGCGGUCGCCUCCCAAAUAAUAACGGAGGCUUACAAAGGUUGGCUCAGAACGGUUGGAAAUCGUUCGUAGAGUAUAAAGGUAUAAGCCAGCUUAACUGCAAGACAUACAAGUCAAGCAGAGACGAAAGUCGGUCUUAGUGAUCCGGUGGUUCUGUGUGGAAGGGCCAUCGCUCAAAGGAUAAAAGGUACCCCGGGGAUAACAGGCUGAUCUCCCCCAAGAGCUCACAUCGACGGGGAGGUUUGGCACCUCGAUGUCGGCUCAUCGCAUCCUGGGGCUGGAGCAGGUCCCAAGGGUAUGGCUGUUCGCCAUUUAAAGCGGUACGCGAGCUGGGUUCAGAACGUCGUGAGACAGUUCGGUCCCUAUCUGCCGUGGGCGUAAGAAGAUUGAAGAGAUUUGACCCUAGUACGAGAGGACCGGGUUGAACAAACCACUGGUGUAGCUGUUGUUCUGCCAAGAGCAUCGCAGCGUAGCUAAGUUUGGAAAGGAUAAACGCUGAAAGCAUCUAAGCGUGAAGCCAACUCUAAGAUGAAUCUUCUCUAAGCUCUCUAGAAGACUACUAGUUUGAUAGGCUGGGUGUGUAAU
rnacentral:rRNA from 1 species